CCUACGGGAGGCUGCAGUGGGGGAUAUUGCACAAUGGGGGAAACUCUGAUGCAGCGACGCCGCGUGGGCGAAGAAGUAUUUCGGUAUGUAAAGCCCUAUCAGCAGGGAAGAAGACCUGACGGUACCUGAGUAAGAAGCACCGGCUAAAUACGUGCCAGCAGCCGCGGUAAUACGUAUGGUGCAAGCGUGAUCCGGAUUUACUGGGUGUAACGGGAGCGCAGGCGGCACGGCAAGCCAGAUGUGAAAGCCCGCGGCCCAACCGCGGGACUGCAUUGGGAACUACCGGGCUGGAGUGCAGGAGAGGUAGGCGGAAUGCCUAGUGUAGCGGUGAAAUGCGUAGAUAUUAGGAGGAACACCAGUGGCGAAGGCGGCCUACUGGACGGUGACUGACGCUGAGGCUCGAAAGCGUGGGGAGCAAACAGGAUUAGAUACCCGAGUAGUC
rnacentral:rRNA from 1 species